CGACUCGCUCGCCGCCGCAGAGGGAAUCAGAUUCUCCUCGAGAAGCUUUAGUAUCCCUUCGCAGACGGAGGAGAGCUCCGUCUCCACCUUGGAUCUGUAGUCUUUCACGAGCGCCACGUGCUCCUCGUUCUUGCGGCUCUCCUCCUUCUGCUCGAUCGAGGACACGAUGCGCCACGCGGCGCGCAGGGAUCCGAUCACGUUCUUGUAUGCCACGGAGAGGAGGUUACGCUCUUCGACGGUGAGCUCGGAGGAUGGUGUGGCGCCUGUGACGAGCUUCUCCAUGAAGUUGACCAUCUCCUCGUAGCGCUCGGCCUGCUCGGCGAGCUUGGCCAUGUAGACGUACUGGUCUCUGCCUAGUGUUGCCGCCAUUGGAGAGAGAAAGUGAGAGAGAGAGAGAGAGAGAUUUUUUUUUUUUUUUCAUAAAGAUUAGUCGGAUGAAGACUUAACAUCUUUGUUAUGUUGACUUUUCUUAGUAGACAAUCCACAGACCAUGAUGUAACGUUAAAUUAGACAAAGUUAACCUUGAUUAGUUAAUUAGAGCUGUGAUUGGAUGGUGAAUAAAUAUAAUUGGAGAGAGAAUCCAAUUUUGUAAUAAUAUGAUUUCAAAGAUCAUUAAUGUUAUAUGACGUGACAAAUGUGUGAACAGCUAACAUGUCUAGUUCAAGAAUCAAGAAUUGCAAAUUUGCAUGUCUUCCUGUCUACUUAAUCCACUUGUUAUUUUUUUUUUUGUCAAACAAUCCACUUGUUAUUUUAAUUUUUUUAUAUAUACAACAACGACCUUUUUAUGUAACUUUGGCAUAGUAUAAGUUAUCUUAUUAUACAGCAACUAAAUAUUAUAAACAGUAACGAUGAUUAAUCCCAUGUGGCUGACCUGAUAAUUUGAUUAAGUUUUGUGAAUAUUAUUGGUGUUGUUACCGUUGUUGGACAUUGCUAAUAAACCCGUUGGAAAUAGCUGUCAGUGAAUAUAAAAUAAUGUUGAUAGACAUAAGGUAUGAAUAGAAAGAAAUAACGUAUAAAAAGAUACGUCGUCUGGUAAUAGCCUGUAAAGCCUAUCUCGACAGUGAUUCAGAAGGUAAGAUGUCCAUUUUAAUGUUUUUUUUCGAUUGAAUGUAUAUUAGUGAAUCAUUCAUAGUUGGCAAUGUAUUGCCAGUUGUGAUGAACGAACCUAAACAUUCAUUAUUUUUGUCUAGUGACUAAUAGGGCCAACUACUGAUCCACUUGUCUCGACUCAUGCAAUCGAAAUGGGUUAAACUGAAAUUCCAUUACGAUGGAUUUCGACUGAUCAACGUCAAAAAGGAAGAUCAGAAGCUAAAAAUAAUAAUUAAAAUGGGCUCAGCUGUAUGCCCAGCCAUUACGAUGAUACAAAAAAUGGGCUUCGUAUCGUUCCACCAUGCAUACAAUGCAGCCUAGUGGUCCAACUACAAUCUCGAUGUUUUACAUCUCCUUGUCCUUGUGCAACGAGAGAUUCCACUUCUUCGAUUCUUGCAUACGUGUGAGCACGUUUAUGGUUGCUCUAUGUUGAAGUAAAAUUUCAUUCACCACAAAACACAACCCCCAAGAAUUUUGGUUUCCCCUGAAUCAAGAUUCGAGUAUGACGAAAAAGAAGGUUUUAAGGCUUAAGCAAAAAGUCAAGAGAUGACAAAUCCUUAGAGAACAUAGUUUAAGACAAUAUUAAAUAGAGUAGAUCAUCAAUCAUCAUCAAGCUGUGCACAUAAAUCUUCAUAAACACUUAAAAAUACUUUUUGGUUCAACAGUUUUGAGCAAAGGUUAUGUGGGAUGAUGGCUCAUAACACACUCCCUUCCUCGAGAUCCUCACGCCUCGUCCAUCUGCUCCUGAACAAAUAAUAUCAACAACUCAGCACACACACAGUUUCUCAGCUGUUUCAAAUUUUUAGACCUGAUGAAUCUGAUCAAGCACGGUUGAAAAACUCUAAGAGACUACGUUGAACUUAGAGUGUAAAAUGGAAGGUGCGGAGAGGAGUAUAACCUGCAUAUCGGAGGUCCAGAGGGUGAGAUUGUCCCUGAGCAACUGCAUGAUGAGAGUGCUGUCUUUGUAGGACUCUUCUCCCAGAGUGUCAAGCUCAGCUAUGGCUUCUUCAAAAGCCUACACGCAAAUCCACCACGAAAAUAAGAUACCAACAGAUAACAAGUAAACACACAUCUAUCAAACAAACAAAAAAACUCUUCCAAAGACAAACUCAGGACAGUAACUUAUAUUUGAUUUUUAUUACAGAACCUGUUUGGCCAUGUCACAAGCCUUGUCGGAAGAAUUAAGAAUCUCAUAGUAAAACACGGAGAAAUUCAACGCCAAACCAAGCCUAAUCGGAUGAGUAGGCGCCAUAUCAGCAGCUGCAAUAUCCUAAUCACCCAAAACAUUUCACAAAACAAAACCAAUCAGUCUUGUAAUAAAACCCCGAGAUUAAUUAAUUAAUUAAAAAAUAAAAUAAAUAAUAAUUUUUACUAAUAUAUAACCUGAGCAGCCUUGUAAGCAACCAUGGUAUCCUCAGCCGCGGCUUUCCUCUCCUCGCCGGCCUUAAACUCCGCCAUGUACCUAUGGUAAUCCCCUUUCAUCUUCAGAUAAAACACCUUCGACUCGCUCGCCGCCGCAGAGGGAAUCAGAUUCUCCUCGAGAAGCUUUAGUAUCCCUUCGCAGACGGAGGAGAGCUCCGUCUCCACCUUGGAUCUGUAGUCUUUCACGAGCGCCACGUGCUCCUCGUUCUUGCGGCUCUCCUCCUUCUGCUCGAUCGAGGACACGAUGCGCCACGCGGCGCGCAGGGAUCCGAUCACGUUCUUGUAUGCCACGGAGAGGAGGUUACGCUCUUCGACGGUGAGCUCGGAGGAUGGUGUGGCGCCUGUGACGAGCUUCUCCAUGAAGUUGACCAUCUCCUCGUAGCGCUCGGCCUGCUCGGCGAGCUUGGCCAUGUAGACGUACUGGUCUCUGCCUAGUGUCGCCGCCAUUGG
rnacentral:lncRNA from 1 species